GAUGAACGCUAGCGGCAGGCUUAAUACAUGCAAGUCGAGGGGUAGCAAGAUUGUAGCAAUACAAUUGUUGACGACCGGCAAACGGGUGCGGAACACGUACACAACCUUCCUACAAGUGGGGAAUAGCCCAGAGAAAUUUGGAUUAAUACCCCGUAACAUAGCGAUGUGGCAUCACAUUGCUAUUAUAGCUUCGGCGCUUGUUGAUGGGUGUGCGGCUGAUUAGAUAGUUGGCGGGGUAACGGCCCACCAAGUCUACGAUCAGUAGCUGAUGUGAGAGCAUGAUCAGCCACACGGGGACUGAGACACGGGCCCGACUCCUACGGGAGGCAGCAGUAAGGAAUAUUGGACAAUGGACGCAAGUCUGAUCCAGCCAUGCCGCGUGAAGGAUUAAGGUCCUCUGGAUUGUAAACUUCUUUUAUAAGGGACGAAAAAAGGUCUUUCUAGAUCGUCUGACGGUACCUUAUGAAUAAGCACCGGCUAACUCCGUGCCAGCCGCCGCAGUAACAC
rnacentral:rRNA from 1 species